CCUACCCCUUAUGUUUUGAUCCUUUAGUGUGGAGUUAAACCAUACUGUAAAUUCCUUUACUGUACAGCACAGGUCUAGGCUCCUGUGUGCAUAGGGCCACUGUCACCAGAAGUCUUCUGUCCUGUUACUUUAAAAAUUCCACUCCAAGAUCUCCCCUGGCACUGAAGCUUGAUGUUACCAUUUUAUUCCAUUUUGUAAGCAGCGAUAUUCAUUCAAACUUCAAAACAAUCUUCUAAUCCCCCCAAAAUUUGUAAGUUCUUACUAUGUCAAGGCACUAACCCAUAUGCUAUAAUUGCCAUCACAAAAGCACUGAGUGCUGAACUUCCAUAAAAUAACAGGUGUGUUUCAGCAUUACUCCUGCCCCACCUUCACCAUCAUAGCACUAUGAUCACAGGGGAAUUCUUCUACCUUUAGCAAGAAAGGAGAAAUGGUCUCUUCUUUUCUACACUUCUGAAUCAAAUCAAAUUUAUGAAUUCACUAAUGCCCAGCAGAUAGAGAAGAUGGUACCACAGUUUACAUGGGAUCUCAGGUAUGCAGCAACAGUGGCAUUUACUACCAACUGUGCCAGCUGCCCCAGAAGGAGCAGUGUGACUUGGGCAGUUACCCUAUGCCAAGAACUAUACCAACAGCACCUCUCUUAUGUUUAACUAGUGAGAGGGAGGUUUCAGAAAGCGCUUACCCCUUCAAUCACAGGAAGAGGCCUAUCUGUGCCAUUGGAAGUAGAAUUAUACUUAAAGACAAUUUCAAAGCUCACCUUUUUCCUAAUCAAUUGCAUAAUGCUCACCCUCAAAUCGCAAGUUUGCUCCAAUAUGUUGCUGCUUCUAAACAUUUAUAGACAUCAGGAACUGAGUUUCAAUAUAAUUCCCCACAAGACCUUUUGUAAUGGAGUGUUAAUAUUUUUCAAAAGAAUAAUUCUGGGACAUUUCCCAGAUCAGCGUCUGGCUUUUUCAUAGUUCCCUGAGGAGAAGACAUACAAGGGGAAACAGUGGAAUAAUUACAUUUAUUAACAGUUUAUUUUAUGCAUGAUUUUUUUUGCACAUCUGCACAUAACCCACACUUUCUCAGGUACCAACUGGUUCUGCUUUCUUUUAUUUGUCUCUCAGUACCUGACACGAAUGACAAUACCUAGCAGUGCACCAUUCACACAUACCCAUACAUACAUAUCAGUGAGGAUUCAGUAAGAUUCAGUUCUAUAAUGCAUAUCUGUAGUUUGUUGGGUGGAACUCAUUUUUCCAAUACAUAAACUCUCCUUUUAUAAUGGAAUUAUCUUUGGGAACUGUCACUAGUCACACUAAUUACAAAUGGAGGAACAAUUAAAUAGGCAGAACAUGGGGAUGAGUUAAACAGCCCAGACAUAGAAAUAGAAAUACCAUGGGGAACAGUAGUUCUCUAGCUCCACCGAGGCACCAAAAGGAAACAAGUGCAACCUUGCAAUUGACUGUAAAAUGUGGGAAAUAUGCUGUUUUUCUAGAAAGAGGAUCUAUAAAAUAUCUAUAAAAUGCAUUGUGUUCUCAGAAAAGUUUCCUGUCCUUUUAUAUUAUCCUUUAAAUAGGUCAUUAUUGAAUUUCAAAAGACAUAACGGGAAUAUAGAUGAUAUUUGGUUAUCUAAAUCUGGGUAACAGUAAGUUGCAUUCUGUGUUUCAACAUAUAAUUUAUUAAGUUGCUGGAUAACCUUAAUGUGAAUAAAAUUAACUCUUCCCCAGGGCCAAAUGUACCCUCAUAAUGGAGACAUAUGUAGACAUAGACAAAUAUAAUUCAAGACACAAUAAUGUAAAUGACCUAAGUGGGGCAUAGAUGAACCCUUCUGGAAUUCUCUGAAGACAAUACUUGGUUGAAAUCAGAACAGGAAAAAAUUCAUGAAGAGGAUGGCAUAUAAGCAGAAUUUUGAAUCAUUGAUUGAGAUUUCAGUUGGUGGAAAUGAUGGGAAAAUGCAAUCCGAUUAGGCAAGUUUUAAUAUCAUAGAAGUAAAAUGAAAAAAGUAAAUGAGUUUGCCUCACCAGAAUGUGGGAUAAUCUUAGAAUAAAACACAGGCAAGGCAGUUUGGGAUAAACCUGUGUUUAAAAAAAAAAAAAAUAAAGAUGACACUUUCAUAUCUGAGCAACUAGCUAUAUAAAAUAUAAAGAAGUUAUAGAAGGGUGAGUGAAAAGCAAAAAAAAAAAUGUAUUUAAGUCAUAAAAUAUGUCUGCCAAACUGCAAGGAUAAUAAGUCCUACUAAUGGGAAAUAUCAUUGUUUUAUUACAUGUAUUAAUAGAUUUGCAGAUAUAAGUGUCAAGGUGUGAACUGAGAAAGAACUAUUCUGUAUAAAGGAGGAGAUAAAAUGCAUUUCCAUUUUUGAAAAAUUCAAGAAAAAAAUUCAGAGAAGUCUGAGAUUAAGUAUGUUUGGAAAGAGGGUCAAAGGAGGGAAAAUAUCAAGAAAAGUCAAAAAGAGACGUAAGGAUUUAAAAAAGAGAGCUACAUCUAACAAGAUAUUUUUAAGUUAUUUUCUCAAGGCCUUGUGAUAUUGGUAACUUUUACUGUCUCUCCUAUAUUUAGGACAUUCUAUGGUGGAUGCACAGCAGUGCUGAGUUCUGUAUCCACAGGGGCAGAAGUCUUAAGAGAAGUUCUGAAAGCUGGAGUCUGUGACGAUUUCACUUUACCCUGCAGAGGAGGACCUUAACCUGCAGGGAAAGAAGUCUGGAGUUCAUUGAGCAGAUAAUGAGAUGCCGUUGAAGUUUGGUUUGGUUUUGCUUGUUUAUUUUAAUCAAAUAUGUGCUUUAGAAAUAUACCUCUGGCAGAAAUCUAGAAAAUAUCUUGGAAGGGGAGAUUGGGAUGGAGAGAGACAGAUUAUGAGAACAUUGAAAUAAUCUGAUCCAGAAGAAUUGAUAACAAACAAAGUCAAAAGAAAUUCGCAUACCACUGAUGUGAGUAAUUUGAAAAAUGGGACAUCAAAAAUGGCUCCUGACAAUGAAAAUGCAAGCUACCUUCAGUAGUCUUAUUGUUAGUAGGGAUAUUAUAUUAAUACCUAUUUUAAAACUAUUUUAUGAAUAAGUUCAUUAAUUAAAUUAGAAACUACUAUUUUUCAUUACAAGAGAUAAUAUUAUUAUUCAAUGAACAAUAUUAUUGUUCAUUCAAUCAUUGUUCAUUCAAUGAACAAAAUUAAGUAAAACAAUGCUAUCUUAAAUUUGAUUAUAAAUAUCACUAGAAGCUCAUUUUUUUUCUUGUAUACACAUGUAUAUUUAGCUCUAUUUUCUUAAAAAUGCCUAGGAAUAUUGACAAGCAAUAACAAUGAGCACUCCAGAUCCUUGAUCAUUGUCUCUCAAUACCACUUGCACAUCAAUAGGAAACAAGAUCCAAUGUGAAGAUGGUUUCCACUGGUCCAAGAUGAAAUCCUCUAGCAGCAAGCAGCCACACUCAGAAUGUGGAGGAUUCAGCAAGAUGGAUGAUACAUUUUCUCCAACGAAUCAAUGGCAUACACAAAAUAAGAUCAGGAUGCUAUUGGUAGGAUUAAAAAAAAAUUAGGAAAUAUAAUGACUAAAUACAAUAUAUGGUCCUCAUUUAGAUCUAACUAGAACAACCUGACUGUUAAGAUUUAUCUUUGAUACAAUCAGGAAAACAUUGGAUGUUAUUAAAAUUGGCCCAUAUUUCUCUUAGGUGUACUGUAUCAUAAUAGGAAGAAGAAGAAGGAGAAAGAAAAAUAUCCUUCUAAGUUUAACAUGUAUUCUCAAGUUUUGUUUGUUUGUUUGUUUCUGAUGAAAUGAUAGGAUGUCUAGAGUUUGCCUUAAAGUACUCCAGGGAAUAAAGUGAAGCAAAAUGUGUGUGGAGGUGAGUUGGGGGCAGGAUAGAGGAGUGGGAGGGAAUCAGCUUAGGAAAAUGUUAAAAAUUAUUUGAAGCUGAGUGAUAUGUACAUGCAAUUUAUUAAACUGUUUUCUGUAACUUCAUGUAUGUCUAGAAAUUUGCACAAAAACAUGUUCAAAGAAAAGAUAACCCUGAGUUUUAAGCUACCAGGUAGACUAUUUUAAUAACCAUAUAGCUGAUCUCUCCACCUCAUGUAUCUCCCUAUUCAAUUCGUCGCCUAAACUGUUACCGUUUUCUUUGUUUUUUGAUCAUGUGACUUCUCAGCUUCCAUAGAUUUCACAGGGCUCACAUUGCUUGUCAGGUUAAGCAGAAACACAUAUAGGACUUGCCUUUGAAGUCCUUCUUGCUUUUUUUAAAUUUUCUUUUUUUUUUUUUGAAGUAUGAUUCACAAAACAUAAAAGUAUUAUUUUAAAAUGAACAACUCAAUGGCAUUUAGUAUAUUCACAGUGGUAUACAAACAGCACCUCUACUCUAGUUCCAAAACAUUUACAUAAUUCUAAAAGAAAACCCAUUAAAUAGUUACUUUAAAGUCCUUUUUAAUCUGGCCCAAAGUAGAGAGCUGGAUAUGUCCUGGAAUAUGGCCCGUACCUUUCUCAUUUCAUUUGUGCUCACAUUGGUUCUUCAGAAAUGCCUUCCUUCAUUACUGUCCUUAAUUAGAAAACCCAUUUAAGACCCAAACCAACUCCACAUCAUUCAUGAAGUCUCUGAAAUGACAUUGGUUUGAUCUACUUCUCUCAAUUCUAAUGCUGACAAAUCAAACAAUGAUGACAGACUAUGUUUUUAUGGAAUUACAAUGAACAUACAAUUUUAUUUCAUAAUUAUUUUUAAUGAUCAUAGAGUCAAAGAACCUUAGAAGACAGACUGUUCAAAUCCCAACCAGUUCUUUAGGCCAUUGCAUCUAAGGGGAGAAAAACUGAUUUUGGAAUCAGAGAAAAAUAGAGCUCACACAUCUGCACUAGGUAAAUGCUCUGGAAAGAGGCUAACUCCACAUUAAAUCAGUGUGGGAGAGAAUGUUACCAUGAUUGCCAAUACUGUCAAAGUUUCUAGUAAUAGAAAGUGUUCCAAAACAAUUUUUAAAACAAAUUGAAACAAAAUGUGCAGUGAGGCUGAAAAUAAUAAUGAGAAGAAUCUAUGAGUGUAAAUGUUCAGCAUUUGAAAGCUCUCCACAAGGUCGUUACUGGCAAAUGCAUUUAUGUUGGUUGGACCUGGCAUGUGAACUAGGCAGGAGAGCCAGAGAUUUCCAUCCCCACCUGGUUUUACUCCAUGGCUUCAUCAGUUUCAUGGUCCCCAUUCCUGCCAGGAGCAAAGCCUGGCACAGGUGAGAAUGAAUCACAGGAAUCAGGAAUACUGGAGCUGUAAAAAGCCUAUGUGCUUUAGAGGUAACCAAGCCCUAUUUCAUCAUUGUAUAGAUGAAGAAAUGAGGCUCUAAGAAAAGUAGACUGACUUCUGAAAUUUACUUAACUGGUAGAGCAAAGUGAGUCUUAGAAUCCAAAUAUUCUGGUGCUGAUUCCAAGGCUUUUUCUGCUGCAGAACCUAAAUUAUUUAUUUAUAUUCAUUAAAUUUUAAUUAACUUACUUAUUUCAUUUUUGUGUGUAAAGGGUUUUCUUUAAAAGUUCAGUUGGUGAAGGUCAAGGAAAUCAGACUCAAGGUAAGCAUCAAAUGUAUGUCUAUGUUUUCUAAGAAAGUCAAAGAUUUACUUAUAGGAAUUUGCUGUAGUUUCUAAGUCCUGUUAUUUCCAUAUACUAUAUUGCUAAGGGAGUAAAGAGGAAAGCAAUAAGGAAUAAGAUAAAAGCCCCACAUAUGAAAAGAGGGGACAGGGGUAAUGUUAUAAGAAAACCCACAGCCAAAGUCUAGGCUACAACAGACACACAUCCUGUCCUCAGGAUAGGUUUCAGAUCUGACUCCAGUUUCUGACUUUCCUAUAGAUAUGCACUCAAAUACAGGCCCGGUCGGGCUGAAGGCCACAGAGAGUGUCUAUGGUCUGUGCACCACCAUGACUCUUCAGUUAUGUGUUGUGUUAAUUUAGUAGGGCUGCUCUUACAAAGUUCCACAAACCGGGUGGCUGAAACAACAGAAAUGCACUGUCUCAUAGUUCUGAGGCUAGAAGUCCAAGAUCAAGAUGUCAGCAAGGUUGGUUCCUUCUGAGGGCCAUGAGCAACCUCUGUACUAUGCCUGUCUCCUAGCUUUUGGUGGUUUUCUGGCAACCUUUAGCAUUUCUUGGCUUAUAGACUCAUCACCCUUGCAUUAGUCAGCUCAAGCUGCCAGAACAAAAUACUACAGACUGGGUGACUUAAACCCCAGAAACAAAUUUCUCACAGAUCUGGAGACUGAAAAGUCUCAAGAUCAAGGUGUGGGUUGAUUCCAGUUCUGGUGCGGGCUGUAUUCUUCCUUGUGGAUGACUGCCAUCUCAUUGUGUCCUCACAUGGUAGUGGAAUGGUUGUAGGGCAGGGAAUGAGAGAGAGAGAGGGAGAAAGCGAGAGAGCCCUUUAUAUAGUGUCUCUUGUUUUCAGGACACAGAUCCUUAAAAGAACUAAGGAGGUGUGAAUACUGAGACAUCACCUAAACUGUCAGAUGUCCUGGUCCCAGUAGCUCCUGGUCCCAGGAGAGGGUCCCAGGAGAUGCUAUGGGUCAAAAUUCAAAUGUUAAAAUUCUACCUUGCAGUUCUUCAGAAUGUGAUCUUACUUGGAAAUGCAGUUGUUUGCAGAUGUAAUUAGUUAGGGAUUAGGGCCCUACCCUUAUGAACUCAUAUAACCUUCAAUACUUCAGUGUAGGACCUAUCUCCAAAUACAGUCCCCUCAAAGGUUAAGACUUUAGCAUGAAAAUUGUAGGGGUAUACAAUGCAACACAUCACAACUCUGAUCUCUGCCUUUGUGUUUACAUGGCAUUCUUCCAGUGCGAGUGUCUAUGUCUGUGUCCAAAUAGUCUCCUUUUUAUAAGGACUCCAGUCUUAUUGAAUUAUUGGUCCGCUUUAAUCUUAACUAAUUACAUCUGCAAACAACCCAAUUUCCAAAUAAGGUUACAUUCUGAAGUACUGCAAGGUAGAAUUUUAACAUUUGAAUUUUGACCCAUAGCAUGUAUAUACCCUCUCCUGCUACCAGGACAUCCAUCAAUUUAGGUGAGGUUUCAGUAUUCACUCCUCCAUAACAGACCCUGAAACAAGACGUUGUGUGCAUGAAGUUAUUUGGGAAACACAAGAACUUGAGCAAGGAGUGGGGAAGAGGGCGUGAUUAAGUCAGCCUCCACAAUGGUCACUUGGAGAAUCCCAUUAGCCCCAUGGGAAAAAUACAGGGAACAUUAUCCCUCCAGGGAGGAAAAGGAAUAGGGAUAUUUAAACACCGAUUUCUUUGUCUGUUGGUGGCCAGUGGCUGUUGUGUCCUCCCUCUCUCUUUUUCUUUCUUAAUUAUUUGCUUUAGCCUUUUCCAACUCUCCCUGGGGAGAAUUCAUAUUCAUGAGCAAAGACACAAAUCACCUUCAUGCAGCACUUCUACUCCUGCUCCCUUUGAGUACUAAUCUGGAUUCCUACCAGUCUUCAUUUGCCAUAUUCAGGACAAUACUUAGAAACAUUCAUGUUAAACCAGAUUCUCUCCGAAGUCUCACAUCUGGCAUCAUAAAAUCACCCGUAGGUGAGCGCUGUUCUGGAUACUAAGCUAUGUGUUCCCAACUUAGGAUCUUACUCUGGGAACUUGCACAGAAUCUCUCUACAUUCUUUAUCUGCCACUAAAACAGAAAAACAAGCAUGACAGAUAUGAAAAGUAUAGAUAAUUUGCUUAUUUAUAGCAUUUAGCAAUCUUAAUUUAUGUUUAUGUCUUAUCAGUGAACCCCUGCUAAUAGAGAUUCCAUUUUUGCUUAAAUUAUUUUGGUCUUAGACUGUGGCUUUCCAGGUCAUCUCUAAAUGUCCUUUUGUUCCCAGAACAUUUGGUCCAUGAACAUGACUGUAAUAAAAGCAAAACAAAAUAAUCAAUCCCAAACCCUCUAUCAAGCUUUAAAUAGACACAACAAAAAGCACAAAGACAAGAGUGAGAAUUACUAGCUCCUCAAAAAAUGUCAUUCCCCAAUUAUUUCAACUUGUCAUGGCAAUAAUAACAGGUAAGAUCUACAAAUGCCUGAAGCAGGAAGUGACAGGAGUGAGUGGAGAACUACGUCAACUGCUGCAAGUUUGAGGAAAAUGAAAACAGAGAAUUAGUCAUUGGGUUUAGCAAAAUGCAAGACAUAGAGAUCAUUAUAGGAGGUCUUUCAGUGAAGUGGUAGAAAGAAAAACUUGAUCAAAGUAAAUUGGGCAGAAAAGGGGAAGUGAGAAAGUAGAAAUAAUAAAUAUGAACAGUUCUUUUAAGGAGUAGAACUGUCAGGGGAGCAGAGAAAGUAAACUAUUUGGAGAGGGGUAUGAAGUCAAGGUCGAAAGCAUGUACAUGUACAAACACACACACACACACAUACACUUUUAAGACAGACAAUAACAAACCAUGUUUUUAAGCCAAUAGAAGUGAUUCUAGUAGACAACUGAUGAUAGUACAGGACAGAGGAGGGGGUAACUGGGCAUACAUUAUUAGGUUGGUGCAAAAGUAAUUGUAGUUUUGCCUUUCCUUUCAAUGGCAAAAACCAAUUACUUUUGCACCCAAUAAUAGUCAAAUAAAAAAGAUUAGUGGACAGGGGUCCUUUGACAGAAAAGGAACCCCAAGGCAAGAAAAGGCAGAUGGUGUAUACAAAUGAAGGUGGGUAUAUGGGAGUGAUGGGAACAAGAGAUUGUUGUCAUCGGAUUGCAUCUAUUUUAUUAAUAAAUACAACUCAUCCAGGGAGUGGGGGCAAAGGUGGGGAGUGAGAGAAAGAGAAACGAUUGGAGUUUUGAGAUGAAAAGUUGUAUUUGUUUCCUACCACCAUAGCAAAUUACCACAAAUUGAGAGGCUAAAAGCAACUGAAAUUUAUUCUGUGACAAUUCUAGAAGUCAGAAGUCCAAAAUCAAGGUGUUGGAAGGGCCACGCCUCCUCUGAAGACUCUGUGAAAGAAUCGUCUCUUGUCUAUCCCAGUCUUUGAUAGCUCCUGGCAUCCCUUGGUUUGUGGCAACGUAACUCUAAUUUGUUUUCGUUUUCACACGGCAGUCUUCUUUCCUGGGCCUCUGUGUUUCCAAUUUUCCUUUCCUAUGUCUUAUAAGGUCACCUGUCAUUGGAUAUAGUGCAUACCCUAAAUCCAGGAUCAUUUCAUUCUGAGAUCCUUAAUUAUAACUGCAAAAAGACCCUGUUUUCCAAAAAGGUCAAAUUCACAGGUACUGGGAGUUAGGACUUGGACGUAUUUUGGAGGACACCAUUCAGCCCACUACAAAAGUGUUAUAUCAUAAUCAUCCAGAAGAAUCAGGAAAGUUAUAUAACUAGGAAAGUGUAGAGAGACUGUCUCUCAAUGUCAAGGGUCCAUAUGAACUUUUGAUAAUAAUUUGAAAUAAGACCAUUCUACAUACUUUUGUGAUUUUCCUUGGCAAUAUUCUGCUGCUUGAAUGCCAACAUGAACUAAGUGGGUAAUUAAUUUAACCAAAGUUGAAAUUUUGUGAGGCAUGCAUAAUAAAUAGAAUGACCAAAAUAUUAUGAACCCUGAAUAGAAGUGGCUAUGUAGUGUCAAACUAUAGUGUAGUACAUAAAAGGUGAGGACAAGAGAAGAGAGAUGAAUUGUCAAAGUGUCAAUGGAUUAGAGGUCAUUAUAAGGUUAAAAAGUAAUUGAAAUGGGGAUGGGGGUGUUUGAAUGAGAAUGAGUAGAAAGUAAUGGCUAGGGGAUAGGAUACUUAAAAUUGAGAUUUUGGAGAUUAGGGUUUCUCAAUUCUAGCUGCCCGUUAGAAUAACCAGAGAUUCUGAAUUAAUUGUCUGGGUAGGGCCCUGGAAUUGGUAUUAUCCCAAGAAUUACUCACGUACAAUAUAUAUGUCCAUGGUCCUAUGAACAUGUAUGAAGGUAUUGUGGAGGAAAUAAAAAUCAGUGGAGGUGAAAUAAGAGAUCAGAAUAUUACAAAGGUCUCCCCAGGAGUAGGAGGAAAUGUGAAAAUCUCAGGGGAUAGGGGAUGAUUCUUGGGAGGAAGACAUGAUGUAGGGACCUCAGGACAGUGGAUAACUCUCUAGGAUAGUUUUUCGUGGCAAGCAGGAGUACCACAAAGCCUGAAAGAGAUGCUCAGGUCUAAGAAAAUCAUCCUUCAUAUCAUUAUUUGCUAUUUUAAAAUGGCACAUAUAUUUAAUAAAAUGAUCAUUUUCUAGGGAAUAACUUGACAAAAGAGCAGCUGGCUUAUACCUUAGAAUUAGGCCAGGAAUUACCAAACAAUUCAAGAGACUCUGACCUACCACCGCGUCUCCCAAGUUGCUUCUGUCAACCUGAAAUAAUCAAAAGGAUUAGAAUCUUAAAGUUUAUUUGAUUGAAAACCUGGGAAUUGCCAUCCAGGAGACACAGACUUCAGAUAAAUGAGGUCAGUGCCCCAAAGACAAAAGUUAAGUUCUUGCUUAUACAGGCAGAAAACAAAGAAGUUUAGUAAGAUUAUAACAUUUUAUAUGCAAGGCUGGUUUAUGAGUUACAACAAUUUAGUUAGUUUGUUUUCUUUUCUGUAGGGUUGGCUUUCAUGUUUUCCACUGUAAAAGUGUAUUUAACAUUUCAUCUUAAGACAACGUGAUAGCCACGAGGUCUUUGUGUGAGAAAGGUAAGAGGGAAGUUAAUCUAUAAUGAAGAUCAACGGUGAAGAGGGAAGGAGGCUUCCCUGGUGCCCUUUAGUCAUUUACAGCAUUUUACAAAACAACAUAGGUAAGGAAGAAGGCUAAUCUAUAAUCAGAGGAACACAGAUUACAGGUGCUUAGGUUGCAGCUGCCUGCCAUGUAACUCAGGCCUUGUAAUCACAUUCCUUUAAGGCUCAAAAUAAUUUAUAAUUCCAACAGCUUAGACUUUGAAUUACUUAUUUUCACACUUAAAACCUAAGACCACUGCCAACACCUCCCUCCGUCCUCCAGGAAGGGAGGACAGGGCUUAUGCUGGAUUGUUCAUUAUUAUUGCCACUGCCUCACUCUGUGGCUGCCAUUGUCAAAUGAUCCCAAGAACCAACUCUUGGGCCUCUCCAACUAUGUUGUCUUCUCUUCCUUAAACACUCCUUUAUCUUUAAGAGAUAGCCUGUGAUGACUUCAAAGAUAGCCCCCAAGUUCUUAUUCCCUUUCUUCUUAAAGUGGACUGGAUUUAGUGAUUUACUUCAAUUAAUUAUCUAAAGAUGGAAAUAAUGGAAUAAUACUUUCGAGAUAGAAUUAUACAAAGAUUUCAAGUGGGGCUCUCACACCGCCAAUCUUAUUUUGCCUGUCAGCUCUGCUUGUUUUUAGGUAGUCUUUUGCAGAAUGCAAGAGUUUUUUGGCAUUUAUAUGAUAUUGGAGCAGACAUACCUAUAUUCUUUAAUCCAAAUUAGCAAAGUGUCUAUCUUCAGCAGGCUAAGUCACCAACUCUUCUCUGUCUCAGUGCUGCUUACUUUAAUUAUCUGUUUGUUAUAUAUUCGUUUGUUUCCUCUAACAAGAUCUCUUUACAGGUAUGAAUGUCUAUCAUAAGCUACUGAAGGUCAAACACCACACUGUACAUUUUUCUUUUACGAUUUGUUGUCCAUAUAGUCAAGAUAUCAGUUGAGAAUGCAUCUUCAUGGGAGGACAAGGUAUAGAAGCUAUACCUUAAAAUAGCUUUGCUUUGAAUAUUUUAUAUAGCAUAAAAUUGCAUUCUAUUAAUUUUAAAUACCUUUAGACAAUAACCAGGCCAAUUGUUUGUACAGAAAAAAUACCCCCGAACCCAGUGUUUCUCUCCUUCUAAAGAUGGCUAAUUUUUCAUAUCUCAUCACAAGCAUGCCUGAGUGGAUGAAACAGAAGCAUAUGCAUAUAUAAUCAUCAUGUAUUUCAGUUCCCCAUUCUUGGUUGAAUGAAAUGAGGAUUUAGUUCAGUUUUGGGCAGGUGGUCUUGAGAGCCCCCAUUUAUUAUGAAGGUUUUCAUUUGUAAAGACAGAAGCCAUUGCCUAGUUUUUAAGUAAAACUGUCUGUUCAAAAGAUACCACAUUUUAUCAUUCACUAAACAUCAAUUGAUCUGGAGCACUAAUAAAAUAAUGUCUUAUAUUUACAUGGUUCUUUAUAUUUACAAACAUCUUUUCAUAUCCUUUCUUCUUUGACCUCCCAACAGAUGUGGAGCUAAAUAUACAGCAGGCUCUUCUAUUUCUGCUUUUCAAAUGAGGAAACAGAAUCGCAGUGAGGUUAAAUGACUUGUCCAGAUCCCACAUCGAGUAAGUUAUGGCACCAGAAAUUGAACAAGGACUUCUGAGGCCAUGACGUGACUGAUUGAUGUCCUCAUGCAUUAAAUCACCAGAAGGAAAGACUAUCAUUUACGCAUGAGCAAACUCAGCUUGCACCUGUCCCUGACAUAUACUGCUGCUGACUACCAAGCUGCAGUGCACGGCAACUUCCUUAAGUGUUUACUGAGCCCUACAGUAGAGGUGAACAAUUGGAAUGAAGAAUAUCAAGGAUUCCUGAAAGAAAAUCAAUUUUGAAUGAACUUUUCUUGCUUAGCCACAGCUCCAAUAUUCUGAGUCAUACUGUAUUUUUGUGGACUUCCAUUGACUUAAGUGACAGAAAUGGCAAUCGGGGGGACAGUGAAUUUCAUGAUAUGCAUUUAACCUAUGGCACUGCACAAAAUAAUUACUCAUGUACAAUUGUAAGGUAAAAAAAAAAAAUACUCAGGUCUCCUCAACUGUGAUAUUAAUCUUAGGGAAUGGGGAAAUCUCAUAGGGGCAUAAUGCCAUUUUAAUGAAGACUUUAGCUGUUCUUCAAAAAUAUUUGUAUCAUAAAAAAUAGUAAUUAUUUAUGAGUCACUCUCUCAGGAGGUCAGAUCCCUUCAAGGGUCAUGCCAUCAACCAAAAACUUCCUAAAUGGGAGCUUUUGGGAGUGUUCAUUGUUAUCUCUAGGAUCCUGUGGUUUGUAACUAGAAGACCCAACAAUAUUCCUUUUGCCUCACAAAAAUAUUUAUAAUAUUUUUACAUUUUUAAAACUCAUUGAUGCUUAAAGAAAG